GAAUACAUUACAUUAGGUGCAGAAGACGUCGUGCCCAUAUCUCAUCUCAUUGUCUGGCAAAAUAGGCAGCCGCCUAGAGCGUACUCUUGAUGGCGCCACUCUGCCUGCAGCAAUAAUGUUAUCCACCAUCCAAAGCACCUGCCCAACCAGCUAAACCCUGCCACCCCAGCAGUAAGAAGUUUAUACCAUCUGUAAGUGCAUUCACUAUUUCGGAUGUAAGAGGGCAGGGCAUGUAUUUCCAUUUGCCCCACAACAGGAAGAAAAAAAAUUUGAUUUUUGACAUGAAACAGGC